rnacentral:snRNA from 1 species
AUUUUUCUGUUUUCCAUAAGUGUAGUAUCUGUUAUAUAUGUACUGCUUUGAUAUUCAUUUUUUUGGGGCGGAGGGUCCACCUUAGUUGCUUGCCUUUGGGGCCCUCGUGUGUCGCUUAGGCGUUGCACUAUAGCCUGGCCCUGUCGCACCCCAA